ACACCCUACGUGGCAGAUCGGGUUCACUAACAAGUGAACCAGUUCUGCCUCUAAGCCCCCAAGCCCUCAGUUUCCCGAAGCCUGCAACUCUCCCCCUUUCUCACCCCCCCGGCCCCUGGCGAGAAAAGCUUCAGUGAGAUUUUGGACGCUACAAUUUUGACUUUUGUAAGAUGCGAUUUCGAGUUCCGCUGAUCCGAACCACACAGUCCACCGACACGAAGCAUGCAAUCCACCGACGCGAAGCCCUCAUUCCAUCGACAUGAAGCCCUCAGAUUUGUGGGAGGGCUUGUAGGAGUGCGUUACUCAUCUAGCUCUGGUAAAGGAAGAAGCCAUGACAGGGUAAUAAAGUAUGGUUUCAGACUAGUAAAAGGAAAGGCUAAUCAUCCGAUGGAGGAUUAUCAUGUUGCUAAAUUUAUACGGAAGAGACAUUAAUUAGGGUUGUUUGCCAUAUAUGAUGGCCGUUUGGGAGAUACCGUUCCUGCCAACCUACAAAAACAUUUGUUUUCCAACAUCGGCCUAAAGGAACUGCAAUGUUAUUUUGAAUGAUGAAGAGAUCAUUGUAAUUUUCAGUCUCACUAAGUUCCAUAUUAACUGUAAUGGUCUACAUGGUUUUUGUAUGGAUCAACUGUAAUGGUACUCCCCCUAUGUAAUGUAGUAUUUAUAUGUUGUUUGCAGUUGGACAACAAUUAACUCAUGAUGUAGCAAUUAACAAGAAUGAAAUGUUGGUUUUCUCAUGUACACAAUAAGUGUACUUUGGGCUA